UCUGGGCUCGUGGCUUUGAAUGAACUCAACCAGCAGCCUGGCAUCUGCCCUCUUCUGUCUGCCCAAAGGCAUGAAGGAAACAGUCCAAGACCUGACUUAGCAUCAGGGGACACAGGUUCAAACCUCAGGCCUGCCACUGACUAGUACCUGACUUUAAGGCAGCAGAUGGGGAGGCAGAACUCGAGAGAGAUUGCAAAAUCUUCAUGAUGGACUCACAAAUACUUUGGAACUUGUUCCUAGAGCAAAUACUGCCACGGAAUUUCCUACAUCAUGGCCCAACAUGAUAUCAACAGGAAGCUGGAUCAGAAGUGGAGCAGAUACAGCUUGAACCAGAGUUUAUAUGGGACAACAGCCUAAAUUUUCUUUAUUACUUGAAAGGUAACACACACACACACACACACACACA